UACGAGGGGGCAAGCGUUGUUCGGAAUUACUGGGCGUAAAGGGCGCGUAGGCGGCCUGCUAAGUCGAACGUGAAAUCCCCGAGCUCAACUCGGGAACUGCGUCCGAUACUGGCAGGCUUGAAUCCGGGAGAGGGAUGCGGAAUUCCAGGUGUAGCGGUGAAAUGCGUAGAUAUCUGGAGGAACACCGGUGGCGAAGGCGGCAUCCUGGACCGGCAUUGACGCUGAGGCGCGAAAGCCAGGGGAGCAAAGCGGG
rnacentral:rRNA from 1 species